GGGCGCUUCCGGCCGGCGGCCCUCGGGAUGCGCUUCGCUGUUCUCUAGGAGGUACCAACCUCUGGCGGUGGGUCUUGCGUCCCGGCGGAAAGCUCCGAGGAGUCCUGUAGACUUGUGGCUCGGGUGGAGCCGGCGGAAAACCCCGAGAAGCUUGAGACAGCCGUGGCUGAGGUGGAGCCGGCGUCGCUGCCCUGGAGCGUGGGCGAGUUUCCUCUUAGCCGGAGCUUCAGGGAUUGACUCAAAGACUCCUCCGCUUUUUUAGUUGUUUUGGGUGUGAAUACAGCCCGGACUAAACCUUAGUCGCCUAGACUAAACCUUAGCCUCCCAGGCUGCCAAAACAGCACAGCUUUUACAGAUGACUCUUACAUCACCAUCCCUACUCUGUGAUACUGUGUUUUUCAAAGUUUAGUGCCUGAACCAUCAGCAUGAAAUCUGCCUGAGACGGUUGUUGAAAAUUCACAUCGCUGGGCCUUGCGGCAGGAUGCCUCUUGAAGCCCAAGUGGAAGCCAACAGAAGAGGGGUCCAUGUGUACAGAUAGGCCUGGAGUGAUCCAUGUUCCAACAGCAGUCCCUUUAACCUCACUUGAAUGUGGAGGCUGCACAGGUCACAAGUCUGAAGACUACAAGCUACCUUUGCUUAAAAGGAACCACACCACCGCUGAUAGCUAACUGCUAGAUUGUUCUCCAGCAUAUCAGAGCUACAUUGAAUUGCUUGAGUUGUGCUUCAAUUAAUGUAGAGAUCUUCACUGAAUCGCACAUAACCAUUGAAGUAACCUGCUGUUUACAGUCUCUAUCAUGCUCUGCCAAGAGAGUUAUUUUACAGUGACAAAACUUCUCUUCUGGUGCCCUGACACAUCCUAGGACUUUGAUGUUGGUAAUUCUUUCCCCUCAGCAAAUGUUGGUUCUAAAUCCACAGAACUACUUGAGAAACUAGAUGCAAAAUUGUAGUAGGUUUAAACUAUCAAUACUCUUUUUUUUUUUUUUUUUUUUUUUUGAGACAGAGUCUCUCGCUCUGUCACCCAGGCUGGAGUGCAGUGGCGCGAUCUCGGCUCACUGCAAGCUCCGCCUCCCGGAUUCACACCAUUUGCCUGCCUCAGCCUCCCGAGUAGCUGGGACUACAGGCGCCCACCACCACGCCUGGGUAAUUUUUUGUAUUUUUUAGUAGAGACGGGGUUUCACCGUGUUAGCCAUGAUGGUCUCGAUCUCCUGACCUCUUGAUCUGCCCGCCUCGGCCUCCCAAAGUGCUGGGAUUACAGGCGUGAGCCACUGCACCCGGCCUAUCAAUAUUCUUUAUAUGUUUUGCUAUUCCCAUUUAAAAGAGGGAAACUGUAGCUAUACACUUUCUAGUCAUGUUCUUUGGUGAUUUUCCUGCACAAACCAACACUGUUGUUCAGAAAUAUAAUUUCCCCUAGAAUUACCCUCCAUCCAAAACAUAUUGUUAUUCUAUCACAGAGAUAAAUAAUGGCUUUCCAAAUCCUGGUUAAAAAAACCAAACACUCUCUUCUUCUCUGUAUUUUUACAGAACAGGCAUAGAUGAUGGCAAUUGUGUUUUACCAUCUUUUUUUUUUUUCUGAGAUGUUAGUUUUCUAGGAUAUGGAAAUCUUAGGAUUCAUAAAAAGUGAAACAACUUUUUGAAAUGUUAGUUUUCCAAAAUUGGACAAUCUUUUUGAGCCAUUCUAUUUUUAGGACUAUUGGUUAGCUGACUUUAGAGCCUUUAAUGUUUCCUUAUUAUUUCAAACAAUAGAGAACUUUCUUCCCCCCCACGUUUUGAGACAGGGUCUGGCUCUGUCACGCAGGAGGCUGUCUGUAGUGCAGCGGCACAGUCUCAGCUCACUGCAACCUCCGCCUCUUGGGCUCAAGUGAUCCUUCCACCUCAGCCUCCUGAGUAGCUGGGACUGUAGGUGCAGGCCACCACAUCUGGCUAAUUUUAAACAAUAGAGAACUUCCAAAACAAAAGUUCUUUAUUAAUUCUUCAAGAAAUCUGUUUUUUACUUAGUCAAUUAAUGUCCAUUUCAUGUUGCCUCAAUAGCCCAUGUAUGAAUCACUCUUCUUGCAGAUUUUGUUCAGUUUUGUUGUAUGUAGACCCAUCUUUCUUUGAUUGAGUUGGUUUCUUUGAUUGAGUUGAUUUGUCUGUAUUAUAUAUCAGUCAGUAUUAAAACCCAAACAAUACCUAAGCCAAAAAAGCAAGGUAGGCACCUGUGAACUCACACACUUGGUUGCAAUUGCUUCAGUAAAAAGGACAGUUUACACUCAAAUUGAAGCAACCAUUAUGUUUCCACAAACAACAUUCCUUAUUAUCCCACCUCACCUUUUCAUUCUUCCUAUGCUGUCUAAUCUGAUUCGGUACAAGAGAUAAGGCAGGUACUGCUAAAUGAUAACUUAGAUGCAGGGGCCAUCAUGAAAAUAUUCAUCCCAUAUCUUACAUUAAGCAAACUACUAGCAACUGUUUGUUGAAAAGUAUAAAUGAAUAAAUGAAAAUAGGACAGAUAGGCAGUGUGGGAAGCUAAAAUAUGGAAGUGUUAUUGCUUUGCUUUAUGUGGUAUAAUGAUCUGACUUUAUCUUCCCAGCUCUCCCAGGAAGUAUGCAGAAUAAUAUUUAUCUCAUAUUGUGGAUGUGGCAAUCAAGACAGAGAGGCUAGAUGCUUUACCUAAAGUCAUCCAACAAAUAUUUGGUAGAACCAGUGCUAGAAUGCAAUAAAUGGAAACAGAGUUUA